rnacentral:tRNA from 1 species
GUGUGCCUGAGUGGUUAAGGGAACGGACUUAAAAUCCGUGGGUUAGUCCCUCGUGGGUUCGAAUCCCACCAUGC